AUACUUUAUUUAUUCUUACUUUUCACUUUUUCACCACUCCCAAUACUAAUUAUAACACUUUUUCAUCUUUUCACCACUCUCAAUACUAAUUAUAACAUAUUUUUCUUCACUAUCAAUACACUUUACCAUUUUUCCUUAAAACCCGUGUCGUCCCCAAAGAGGAACUUAUUUUGGGGACGGAGGGAGUAUCAUUUAAGCUAGUUUGGAUUGAUUUCUAUCUCAUUUAAUCUAGUUUGGCUUGAUUUUUCCCCGACACAGUGAAGUUUUUGAAAUUGCUUCUUUUUGUAUGAAGAAGAAUUUACAACGUGACACCUUUGUUUCUAAGAUCACACGUUUUUGUAGGAUAAGGAAGGAUCUAGAGUGAUCGAGGGUGUAUCAACAGGACCACAUUUUGUAUUAUUGUAAAAAUUGAAUUCCUUUCGCAGAAUAGUAAUUUUAAUGAAUCGCUUACUAAAAUAGUCUUUUAGUAUUUUCAUAAAUAAUUUAAUGUAGAAGUUUGGGAAAGAGAUUAAUUAUAUAUAUAGAUCUCUUAGACUCACGUAGAACUAUAGAUCACUUAAAAUUGCACAAUGUUAAAUGCAAAAAAUGUAAUGUUGUGUGUAUUUGAGUAUGCUCUCACGCGAUCUUUAAAAUUAUUUGUUCAUUUAAAAAAAAAUUGAACACAAAUUAAGUACAUAUAUGAUUUCAAAUGCGCAUAAAUGCAUUAACUCAAACACAUCACAACAUUAUGUAUAUAUGUUGCAUUAUAAAAAAAAAUGCAUGAUUAUAUAUACAUGUAUAUUUAUAAUGCAUUACUAAAUACACAAAAAUGCAUCUAUACAAUGGUAAUACAUGUAAAUUGAGGAUCUACCCAAUCCUUAUCCUAUAAAUUUGUGAAUCAAAUUUCACGAAACCUAACCCCACAAUUAUUUGCGAAUUUCCUCGUCACAUGGUGAUGGUCCCAACUCCUCGUGGUCCCCUUUUGCAUAAUUAAAGGUCAAGAAAAUAUAAAAGAGUCCAAACUUUAUACGCUUCAUAAAUGGCACGUUUUUUAUUUUAGAAAUAAAGGGCUUUAAUUGGGAUAUUCUAUGUUGUAAACAAUUGAUUAACCUAAACCUUCUUUAUUUAUCUAAACAAAUCAUAAAUAGUAAAUACUCCCUAUACUUAUAUUUUUGCCACCAAUUAUUUAAAUUUUUCUCUAUGCCCAAAAUGGUAAGUAAACGGAAAUGGACGGAUCAGUAGAAAUUUUCCCCUUCUCUUUUUGAUAAAUUAUUGCACUUUUUACUCUAUUAAUGAAAGUAAGGGGUUGUCGGCAAAUGAUGUAUGUUCAAUAACUAAAUGAUAUUGUAUGGUUUCACAUAGUGUUAAGAGUUGUUUUAACUCUAAUAAUUAUACUAUAUUUUUUGAAUAAAUCCUUGUUUUAUCUUCUUCAUUAAUUAAUUUUAUAAGAGAAUUAAUAUCUCUAUAUUUUCGGUUUGCUUUCUGUUUGUAUCUCAGCAGUGUAUAUAUAGCUAGCUUUUCCUUUGAUGUAAAUCAGUUGAAUUCAUACAGAGAAAUGAAAUAUUACCUCCUUUCUCUCUCAUCACAACUACCCUAUCUUAUCUCAAUAAUUGUUCAUUGUCAUGAGUUUUUGAAUUAAAUUCUUUCUCGAUAUUUGUGCACGUAGGACCAUCAACUAAUAAUGAAGUAGGAGAAUUAAAUAUCAGCAGGACCACAUUUUCUAGAUCGUUUAUUGUCACAUGCUAUAAAACAGGAGCCAUACAUAUAUAAUCCGUAUGUACCACAUUUUCUAGAAAAUAAAUGCUCACUUUAAAUAUCAACUGGACCGCAUUUGCUCACUUGAUAUUUUCUUCACAUGCCAUAAAACAGGAGCCAUGCAUAAUUGGAGUAGGACCCAUGCUAUUUGUAAAAUGUACCAUAAAAUAUACUCCCUCCGUCCCAGCUGAAAUAUCAUGUUUUCCUUUUUGGGUUGUCCCACUUGAAAUGUCAUGUUUCCUUUUUUGGCAAUACACUCUCUCUCUCUAUACUUAAUAUUUAAAUAAUUUCCACCAACCCACUUUAUCUACUUUAUACACAUUUCUUAAUCUCCGUGCCGAAAAGAAACAAGACAUUUUAGCUGGGACGAAGGGAGUAAAUGAUUAGCUUCAGGGACGUUUGAGGGUAGGUGUCGAAAGCUUAUCUGAUACGACUCGAUAUGCAAACAAGUUGUUUGACAAAAUGCCUGAGCCAAAAUUGUAUGGUAAAGACUAAUGAGUGCUAGAAUCCCAUGUUCUCUAGGUUGGGAAAAAAAGGUUUAUCUCACCUUUUAUAAUUUGUAGAUGGGAAAAUAUUAACAUAUCAAUACCUUACAAAUUGUACUUUUAUUCCAUUUUUUAACUAAUAAUGUACUUUUAAUCUACUUUUUUGUACUAACACAACCCUUACAAAUUGUACAUUUAUCAAGAAUCUUUUGUAUGUUACAUAAGUAUGGAACAUGAAUUUGGAUUCAAAUAUUUGACCAAUCUUAUGAGAAAACAGACUUAAAGGGAAUUCUCUGAUUUAUUAUCUCUGAUACUAUUUUUUUUUUUAAGAAACUAUUAUAUUUUUAAAAGAGGAUCAAUAAUGACUUUUAAUAAUAUUCUUUCCAUAUGUUUUUACUUGCAAUUUCUAAAAAGAGAGAGAUAUUGUCAAAGGUGAUAUGGAAUUUAUAGAAGUGGUAUAUAUGUAAUAAAAUAUGAUGAUUAAAUAAUAUUUUCAUUCAUGCAUUAUACUAGUAUAAAUAGGAGAAGAGUUGACACCGACACACCAUCACUCACAACUCGAUCAAUUAAGCCAUGGCCAACCUUCCCCAAACCCUACUCUCCAUAGCCCUUCUCCUUGCCGCCGCUGCCAACACGGCGUGGUCCCAAACAACGUCCUUCACCUACGACUUCUGGGGCGACCAGCCGACCGAUCUCAUCUAUCAAGGCUCCGCCCAUUUCCCGUCCGACUCCACCUUCCUCCGCCUCACCGACUUCGAAACAUACCAGGUCGGCCGGGUCUUGUACUCGAAGCCGGUCCAGUUCUCCCAAGCCGGUGGCCAAGUCGACUUUGAAACCACCAUUAACUUCAUCAUCACACCCACUCCCGAGGACAAAACCGCUGACGGCCUCGCCUUCUUCAUGGGCCCAGUCGGCACCACCAUCCCCAGUGGCGCUGUUGGGGCCAACCUCGGAAUUUUCGGCUCCAACGGCAACAGCCCCUCGGUCUUCGCCGUCGAGUUCGACACCUUCAUCAACAGCCCGUGGGAUCCGAACUAUCCCCACAUCGGCAUCGACCUCGGAUCUAGGGAAUCCAGCAACACGACGAAUGUCGGAACCGCCAUAGUCGGACAGCAGGUGACUGCGCGGAUCAACUACGUCGGAGCCACGAAUAUGAUCACCGUCAGUGCCACCGCCGGCUCGAAGACGUUUGAGGUCAGUCUUAAGUACGAUUUGAGCCACUUUCUUCCUCAGCAAGUUCAGGUAGGGCUCUCCGCCGCCAGCGGACUAAACCAACCAUACGUCGCCAAACAUGAUAUUAUAUCAUGGUAUUUCACGGCCACCAUGGUGCAGACAAAUGCUGGCGCGUGGAGCAAGAAGGAGCUGGCCGGCAACAUUAUUCGUCAAUUUGUGUGAUUUUGAGAUGUGUGUGUGUCGUAAAUAAAUAAGGACUAAGCGAUCGAGUCUGCUCUCGUUAAGUCUAGAAAUAAGAUACUCGACCAUCUCUAUGUACGGACUAUGCAACAAUGCUUUUGGGUGUCGUUCUCGUUUUAUGAUCUUUGCAAGGUUAUCUAUGGAAGAUUUAUUAAGGACUUUUAUCGACCAGUUGGAAUACUGUAUAUGAAGCAAGUUAAUUCUUGUUAAUCCAACAAUAGUGAAUCCUACGCAACAAAGUAAUUCUCACACAGCCUGUGCCUUCAUCGUGAUUUAUUAGGAUCUCAAAAGGAUCGAUGUGCGACUAUUAGCACUAAUUGAAUGUGACUUCAAAGUAAAUAAUCAUCUAUAUAACUCAUUGUUGGUGGCAGACAAAACCCAUUAAGUGGGAGACAUCACUUUUCUGCUUUUACUUUUUGCUUUUCCUUUGUUGACUUCUUUGUCGUAGUUGUUAGGGGGUGUGUGGUCGAUUAUUCAUUCCUUGAGAAAAUUGAGACGAGAAAAAAGAGAGCAGAGAGAGCUGUGAGAGAAAAACUCUUGCAGAGAGAUUGGGGCGUGAUAUACACGAGAGAUUGUGAGGGUUUUUCCAGCGUGGGUUUGAGAGUGUACGAGAGUGAGAGGUUGAUCUCAUCUUGGGUGUAAUUCUCGAUUCAUUGUGUGACGAGUUCGCGGGUUGUGCGAAUCGUCGGAGUUCUUCAAUACUACGAUUGGUGUUGCUCCCAUGGAC
rnacentral:lncRNA from 1 species